rnacentral:rRNA from 1 species
GACGAACGCUGGCGGCGUGCUUAACACAUGCAAGUCGAACGGAAAGGCUCCAGCUUGCUGGAGUACUCGAGUGGCGAACGGGUGAGUAACACGUGGGUAAUCUGCCCUGCACUCUGGGAUAAGCCUGGGAUACUGGGUCUAAUACUGGAUAUGACCUUUCUCCUUAUGGGGUUUGGUGGAAAGUUUUUCGGUGUAGGAUGAGCCCGCGGCCUAUCAGCUUGUUGGUGGGGUGAUGGCCUACCAAGGCGACGACGGGUAGCCGGCCUGAGAGGGUGAUCGGCCACAUUGGGACUGAGAUACGGCCCAGACUCCUACGGGAGGCAGCAGUGGGGAAUAUUGCACAAUGGGCGGAAGCCUGAUGCAGCGACGCCGCGUGAGGGAUGACGGCCUUCGGGUUGUAAACCUCUUUCAGCAGGGACGAAGCGUAAGUGACGGUACCUGCAGAAGAAGCACCGGCUAACUAUGUG